rnacentral:rRNA from 1 species
GUAGGUGGCAAGCGUUGUCCGGAAUUAUUGGGCGUAAGCGCGCGCAGGCGGUUCUUUAAGUCUGAUGUGAAAGCCCACGGCUCAACCGUGGAGGGUCAUUGGAAACUGGAGAACUUGAGUACAGAAGAGGAAAGCGGAAUUCCACGUGUAGCGGUGAAAUGCGUAGAGAUGUGGAGGAACACCAGUGGCGAAGGCGGCUUUCUGGUCUGUAACUGACGCUGAGGCGCGAAAGCGUGGGGGAGCAAACAGGAUUAGAUACCUGGUAGUCCACGCCGUAAACGAUGAGUGCUAAGUGUUAGGGGGUUUCCGGCCCCUUAGUGCUGCAGCUAACGCAUUAAGCAUCCGCCCUGGGAGUACGGCCGCAAGGCUG